UGAGCAAUCUGCCCUUCUCUUCGGAAUAAGCGUUGGAAACGACGUCUAAUGCCGAAUACGACCUCCUUUCGCAUGAUCGGAGGUGGAAAGCUCCGGCGGAGAAGGAUGAGCUCGCGGCCUAUCAGCUAGUUGGUGUGGGUAAUGGCUCACCAAGGCUUCGACGGGUAGCCGGCCUGAGAGGGCGACCGGCCACACUGGGACUGAGAUACGGCCCAGACUCCUACGGGAGCAG
rnacentral:rRNA from 1 species